CAAAAAAUAGUUUACUAGAAUUUUGGCUUUGGGGGCCAGGGGUGGGGGUUUAAAUCCCUCUUUUUUGA
rnacentral:tRNA from 1 species